CGAGUGGCGAACGGGUGAGUAAUAUAUCGGAACGUGCCCUAGAGUGGGGGAUAACUAGUCGAAAAGAUUGCUAAUACCGCAUACGAUCUAUGGAUGAAAGUGGGGGAUCGCAAGACCUCAUGCUCGUGGAGCGGCCGAUAUCUGAUUAGCUAGUUGGUGGGGUAAAAGCUCACCAAGGCGACGAUCAGUAGCUGGUCUGAGAGGACGACCAGCCACACUGGAACUGAGACACGGUCCAGACUCCUACGGGAGGCAGCAGUGGGGAAUUUUGGACAAUGGGCGCAAGCCUGAUCCAGCAAUGCCGCGUGAGUGAAGAAGGCCUUCGGGUUGUAAAGCUCUUUUGUCAGGGAAGAAACGGGUGAGGUUAAUACCUUUGCCUAAUGACGGUACCUGAAGAAUAAGCACCGGCUAACUACGUGCCAGCAGCCGCGGUAAUACGUAGGGUGCAAGCGUUAAUCGGAAUUACUGGGCGUAAAGCGUGCGCAGGCGGUUAUACAAGACAGAUGUGAAAUCCCCGGGCUCAACCUGGGAAUUGCAUUUGUGACUGUAUGGCUAGAGUGUGUCAGAGGGGGGUAGAAUUCCACGUGUAGCAGUGAAAUGCGUAGAUAUGUGGAGGAAUACCGAUGGCGAAGGCAGCCCCCUGGGAUAACACUGACGCUCAUGCACGAAAGCGUGGGGAGCAAACAGGAUUAGAUACCCUGGUAGUCCACGCCCUAAACGAUGUCUACUAG
rnacentral:rRNA from 1 species